UGUAGUGCCCCUUCUAGGAUCUAGGAGGGUACUAAUUGGUGAUAAUAAGGAGUUCCUGUUCACGUUUCAUUCAGUUGUUGCUUCUUCAAUACCGAGGCAGUUUCGGCCACUUCAGCCUUCUCCAAAAUCUGCAGACAAGAUCAUUCCAUUUUUUUCAUGAAAGAGUGAAGUUUUGUCGUAAUCCUGAGAUCGUUUCAGCUGGACGAGAAAUGAGAUGCAGCAACGAAUUCUCGGAAGUCAGAAACAAGCAGGCGACCCACAAGGGGCAUUUUUGGUCCAAUUCUUUAUACGAUUAAUACUGCUGACCUACAUGUACACCCUAAUACCAUCAACACCUACGCGGACGAUACCGCAAAUUUGACCUCUAUCUCCAAACAUAUGCAAGUUCUACUUUGAGCAUAUCGACUGAUAAUAAAAAGUGUACUCAGUGUACAUUCACAUUGAAAAAAGUCAAGAGAUAUUGAUUUCCAUUCAAGUCAAAUACGUAGGACUUUACCUAGACAGCAGGCUGACGUGGAAUCCCCACACGCGACAACUUAACUCCUAGAAUCGAAAUCCGUCUUGACCGUCAAGACUCAACUAAACUUAAACAAGCCUUCACUGCGACCACUUUGGACAUACGGAGUGGAACUUACCUCUGCUAAGCAAUCGGACAUCCAGAUCCAAUCCUUCCAAUCAAAAGUCCUCGGAUAAAUCGUCAAAGCUCCUUACUACAUCACUAACCUCACUAUCCAGACCUCAACAUUUCUUCUGCCAACGAAUGACCCGUUUCCGAUUCCAAAAGUUUCAUGCCAACCUCUCGAUCCAUCCUAACCCUCACGUCAACCUCAUUCCCAUCCCGAGAACCCGCCACGUCGAAAUCGACGACGGCCUCGAGACCUCCUGCCGUGAGUGCGAGAAAUGGCCGGUUUCACAUGGCAUGUGUCUUCCGGGUGCAGCACUCGCAUUGCAGGCAUUUACUGACUAAAAACACGUUUUGUGAUCACAUUUGUAAUACGUAUAGGGUACAAAUAAAAUUAUAGUUAAAAAAAAA